CAAGACAUGCUGGAAAGUCUUUGCACGGCAAAUAUCUUGUGGCGUCCCGUGCCCUGCAUUCACCUCCUUGAGCUUUUCCCCCUUUUUCUGCUUAUUUGCAAAGAAGAAAACAUGGCUGGUGCCUUGGUGGGUGGUGCUUUUCUCUCAGCUUUCCUUCAAGUUUUGUUUGAUCGAUUGGCUUCUCAAGAAAUCGUUGACUAUUUCCGGGGAAGGAAAGUCAAUGAUAUACAGCUACAAAAGCUGAAGAUCACUCUGUUGAGUGUUGAUGCAGUGCUCAACGAUGCAGAGGCGAAGCAAAUCACAUAUCCUGCUGUGAAGCAGUGGCUCGACGAACUUAAAGAUGCUGCCUAUGAUGCAGAGGACCUCUUGGAUGAGAUUGCAACUGAAGCUUUGCAACAGAAGUUAGAAGCUGAAUCUCGAAGUGGCACAAGACAGGUGCGGCGAUCCACUUUUCUUAGUCCUUUUGAAAAAGGGUUGUCAUCAAAUAUAGAGCAGAUCCUUGCCAGGUUAGAAUUUAUUGCAAAGCAAAAAGACGUCCUUAGUUUGAAAGAAGUUCAAGGAAAGCCACUGCAGACACUACCAACUUCUUCUUUGGUGGAAGAAACUGGUGUUUAUGGUAGGGAACGUGAUAAAGAGGCUUUAAUACGUCUGAUGUUGAAUGAUGCCUGUGGUGAAGAUAUAAGUGUAGUUACAAUAGUGGGCAUGGGAGGGGUAGGAAAAACCACCCUUGCUCAGCUGGUGUACAAUGAUGUAAGAGUGAAGGAACAAUUUGACCUUCAAGUGUGGAUUUAUGUUUCAGCGGAACAUGAUAUAUUCGGGGUAACGAAGACAAUUCUUGAUGCAGUCACUUUGUCGACCAGCCGUAUCAAGGACUUCAAUCUUCUUCAACUUGAACUCAAGGAGAUGUUAACAGAUAGAAAAUUUCUACUUGUUCUUGACGAUGUUUGGAAUGAGAAUUAUAUUGAAUGGGAGGCGCUGCUGAUUCCAUUUAAAUCAGUGGCGCGGGGAAGUAAGAUUAUUGUGACAACACGAAAUGAAAGAGUUGCUUCUGUCAUGCGCUCUGUAUCAACUCUUCAUCUGCAGCAGUUAUCUGAUGAAGAUUGCUGGUUGUUAUUUGCAAAACAUGCAUUUGACAAGAGAAACUCUAGAGCACGCCCACAGUUGGAUGUAAUUGGGAAAAAAAUAGCCAAGAAGUGCAAUGGCCUGCCUCUAGCUGCAAAAACUCUUGGGUGUCUGUUGCAUUCUAAAUCAGAUGUAGAGGAAUGGGAUAUGAUAUUUAAGAGCAAUAUAUGGGAUUUAUCCUAUGAAGAGACAAACAUUCUUCCUGCACUAAGAUUAAGCUAUUAUUAUCUACCCUCGCACUUAAAGCGUUGCUUUGCCUAUUGCUCGAUAUUUCCUAAGAAUUAUGAGUUCAGAGAGCAGAAGUUAAUACGGCUAUGGAUGGCAGAAGAUCUUCUGCAGAGACCAAAUCCAAAAAAGAGAAUGGAAAAAGUGGGAGAGGAAUACUUCCGGGAUCUCCUGUCAAGGUCAUUCUUCCAACAAUCAAGCUACAAAAGGUCACACUUUGUUAUGCAUGAACUAAUAAAUGAUUUAGCCAAAUUUGUAUCUGGAGAAUUCUGUUGUAGAAUGGGGAAUGAGAAUUCAUAUGACAGUAUGAGAAAGACUCGUUACAUAUCAUAUUCCAGAACGCGAUAUGAUGCCUCUAUGAGAUUCAAGCCAAUAUAUGAAGCUAAGCGUUUACGUACCUUCUUGCCAUUGCAGCUGGCAUCAGAAUGUGGGCACUUUCUAAGUAAUAAGGUACUACAUGAUCUGAUACCAACACUGAGAUGCUUACGUGCAAUCUCUUUUUCACACUACAAAAAUUUUACUGAGUUGCCCAAUUCAAUUGGGAAUUUGAAACAUCUACGCUAUCUGAAUCUCAGUUUCACUUCAAUCAAAAGACUGCCUGCCUCUUUAUGUAAUUUGCUUAAUUUACAAGCACUGAUCUUAACUGGUUGUUCUUCUCUUGAUGAGUUGCCAACUGACAUGGGAAGGCUAAUCAAUUUGCGUCUGCUCUAUGUUGGAGAAACAAACUUGAGAGAGCUACCAUCACAAAUAAGUAAGCUAAAAAAUCUCCAAGAAUUGAGUACUUUUAUUGUGAGCAGACAUGAUGGCCUUGGCAUCAGAGAUUUGAAGGAAUUUAAGCAUCUUCAGGGCAAGCUUUACAUCUUAGAGCUGCAAAAUGUUGUUAAUAUUCAGGAUGCUUUGGAAGCCAAUUUGAAGGACAGGAAGUACCUUAAAGAGUUAUCCUUGAAAUGGAGUGCUAACUUUGAUGAUUCAGAAAACGAAAGACGUGUGCUUGAAAAUCUCCAGCCUUGCACAAAUUUGGAAAGGCUCUCAAUUAAGCUUUAUGGUGGGACAAGAUUUCCAGAUUGGUUGGGAAGUCCUUCAUUCUCCAACAUGGUAUCAGUGAAUCUUAGCUUUUGCAAGUAUUGCUUCUUCUUGCCACCCCUUGGGCAACUGCCAUCUCUUGAAGAACUCUGUAUCACAGGAUGUGAAGGAAUCGAGAGGGUAGGUCCUGAGUUCUAUGGAAGGACUUCUCAAAGUAGGACAUUUAGAUCCCUGACAGUCCUCAAAUUUGAGAAUAUGUUGGAAUGGCAGGAAUGGAUUUCUCUGAACAGUGAAAAUGAAGGUGGAGCUUUCCCUCGUCUACAGCAGCUGUAUUUACAAGACUGUCCCAAGUUAACUGGUACAUUGCCCAGCUACCUCCCUUCUUUAAGGAAACUUGUGUUGAAUAACUGCAAGCAGCUUAGCACUUCAACUCUAGGGGCCCUUUCAUUUCGCAAAUUGGAGACAGGAAAUUGUGAUAAGUUGAUGUAUCAGGAACUUCCAUCAACACUGCAGAAGCUUAUUAUUAAAGGGCCCAUAAAUUACUCUCUACUUAGCUCCUUUCCACUGGACCUCCUCCCUGAGCUUCAAAUUCUCAGUGUCCAGAACUGUGUUCAACUUGCAUCCUUUUCAGUUCCUGAUGAUGGUCAGCGGGAUCUCGCAUAUCUCAGUUUCCUGCGAAUAAGGGGGUGCCCUAACUUUCAAUCGUUUCCUCAAGGAGGACUGCGUGCCCCAAACUUAACAAUUUUUUCAGUAUGCAAUUUCAAUAAUUUGAUCUCUCUGCCAGAGCAUAUGAGCACACUUCUCCCAUCUCUUCGCGAUUUGUAUAUAUCUAAUUGCCCAAAAUUGGUAUCUCUUCCUGAGGGAGGUUUGCCUUCCAAUUUAAAUAUGGUUUUAAUUUCAAGGUGCGAUAAACUCAUUGCCAACAGGAGAAAAUGGGGUUUACAGAGACUCCCUUCUCUUAAAAUAUUUUGUCUUGGAGGUUGUAAAGAUUUGGAGUCCUUUCCUGAGGAGGGGUUGCUGCCCACCACUCUGACCACACUUUCCAUCUGUCAACUUCAGAGUCUCAGAGUCCUGAAUAAGAAUGGACUACAGCAUCUCACCUCUCUUCAAGAGUUUAAGAUCAAGAACUGUCUUCAACUUCAGUCCUUCCCAGAAGAGAGGCUUCCAGCUUCUCUAAUUUACCUAUCUAUAAAGAAAUGCCCUUUACUGAAAUAUUGCUACCAGAAGGAGAAUAAGGAAAUCUGGAACAGAAUCGCUCAUAUUCCUUGCAUAAAGAUUGACCAAGAAGUGAUAAUGCUAUGAGCUAAACAAAGUCAUGCCUCUUCUGAGUUCGACUCCUGCCUGAUCCAUCAAGCAGAGGUCUUUUUAUACUCAUGUGAUACUUCAGUCUGCAAGGCCCUGAAGGCACGCCAGCUUUAGUCUUAAGAUGUUGUAUAAGAUUAGCCCCAAAUUUAGGUGACUCGUUGAGCAGUUGUUGACUGCCUGAUCAAGUUAAUCAAUGAAGUUUUGCAGCCUAUUUAUAUUGCCUAUUGCCAAGCUACCUAAGUUUUAUAGCAAUUCCAAGCAGAAUUUGUAGUGCAAUAUUAAGACUAAUAUCUCAGUUGACAAAAUAUUGGUUGCACCAAAUGAAAAACAUCACUGAAGUUGAGUCAUUUCUAUAUGAUCAAUUCAAGAUUGUAAUUGCCAUGAAUAUGAAACGGACUAUUUUUUUCUCUCUCUUUUAUGUUAAACGAAGAAUAGCAUAGUCAGAUUAGCUAUUCAGCCUCUUGCCCAUAGCUAUUUGAUGCCCAAAAUUUUAACUUAA